UACGAAGGGUGCAAGCGUUAAUCGGAAUUACUGGGCGUAAAGCGCGCGUAGGUGGUUCGUUAAGUUGGAUGUGAAAGCCCCGGGCUCAACCUGGGAACUGCAUCCAAAACUGGCGAGCUAGAGUACGGUAGAGGGUGGUGGAAUUCCUGUGUAGCGGUGAAAUGCGUAGAUAUAGGAAGGAACACCGUGGCGAAGGCGACCACCUGGACUGAUACUGACACUGAGGUGCGAAAGCGUGGGGAGCAAACAGG
rnacentral:rRNA from 1 species